GGGGAAUAUUGCACAAUGGGGGAAACCCUGAUGCAGCGACGCCGCGUGGAGGAAGAAGGUCUUCGGAUUGUAAACUCCUGUUGUUGAGGAAGAUAAUGACGGUACUCAACAAGGAAGUGACGGCUAACUACGUGCCAGCAGCCGCGGUAAAACGUAGGUCACAAGCGUUGUCCGGAAUUACUGGGUGUAAAGGGAGCGCAGGCGGGCGAUCAAGUUGGAAGUGAAAUCCAUGGGCUCAACCCAUGAACUGCUUUCAAAACUGAUUGUCUUGAGUAGUGCAGAGGUAGGCGGAAUUCCCGGUGUAGCGGUGGAAUGCGUAGAUAUCGGGAGGAACACCAGUGGCGAAGGCGGCCUACUGGGCACCAACUGACGCUGAGGCUCGAAAGUGUGGGUAGCAAACAGGAUUAGAUACCCUGGUAGUCCACACCGUAAACGAUGAUUACUAGGUGUUGGAGGAUUGACCCCUUCAGUGCCGCAGUUAACACAAUAAGUAAUCCACCUGGGGAGUACGACCGCAAGGUUGAAACUCAAAGGAAUUGACGGGGGCCCGCACAAGCAGUGGAGUAUGUGGUUUAAUUCGACGCAACGCGAAGAACCUUACCAAGUCUUGACAUCCUGCGACGAUGCUAGAAAUAGUGUUUUCCUUCGGGACGCAGAGACAGGUGGUGCAUGGUUGUCGUCAGCUCGUGUCGUGAGAUGUUGGGUUAAGUCCCGCAACGAGCGCAACCCUUAUGGUCAGUUACUACGCAAGAGGACUCUGGCCAGACUGCCGUUGACAAAACGGAGGAAGGUGGGGAUGACGUCAAAUCAUCAUGCCCUUUAUGACUUGGGCUACACACGUACUACAAUGGCGUUAAACAAAGAGAAGCAAGACCGCGAGGUGGAGCAAAACUCAGAAACAACGUCCCAGUUCGGACUGCAGGCUGCAACUCGCCUGCACGAAGUCGGAAUUGCUAGUAAUCGCAGAUCAGCAUGCUGCGGUGAAUACGUUCCCG
rnacentral:rRNA from 1 species